rnacentral:rRNA from 1 species
GAUGAACGCUGGCGGCGUGCCUAAUACAUGCAAGUCGAGCGAACAGACGAGGAGCUUGCUCCUCUGACGUUAGCGGCGGACGGGUGAGUAACACGUGGAUAACCUACCUAUAAGACUGGGAUAACUUCGGGAAACCGGAGCUAAUACCGGAUAAUAUAUUGAACCGCAUGGCUCAAUAGUGAAAGACGGUUUUGCUGUCACUUAUAGAUGGAUCCGCGCCGCAUUAGCUAGUUGGUAAGGUAACGGCUUACCAAGGCAACGAUGCGUAGCCGACCUGAGAGGGUGAUCGGCCACACUGGAACUGAGACACGGUCCAGACUCCUACGGGAGGCAGCAGUAGGGAAUCUUCCGCAAUGGGCGAAAGCCUGACGGAGCAACGCCGCGUGAGUGAUGAAGGUCUUCGGAUCGUAAAACUCUGUUAUUAGGGAAGAACAAAUGUGUAAGUAACUAUGCACGUCUUGACGGUACCUAAUCAGAAAGCCACGGCUAACUACGU